UUAAGGACGCAAGGUGACCCUGCUUUUCAGGGUAAGAAGGGGUAGAGAAAAUGCCUCGAGCCGAGGUCCGAGUACCAAGCGCUGCAGCGCUGAAGUAUGAGCCCCGUGGACUAGCGAUUGCUUCUCCACGAGGCUCAUACCAGGCGCUACGACGCUGAAGUAUGUAACUGAUGCCAUACUCCCAGGAAAAGCUCGAAUGACCUUCAACAAAAGGGAACAUCUUUUGAGGAAUGGGCCAGACCCGGCCAU
rnacentral:rRNA from 1 species